UACGAAGGGGGCUAGCGUUGUUCGGAAUCACUGGGCGUAAAGCGCACGUAGGCGGAUCUUUAAGUCAGGGGUGAAAUCCCCAGGCUUAACCUGGGAACUGCAUCCGAUACUGGAUGGCUUGAAUCCGGGAGAGGGAUGCAGAAUUCCAGGUGUAGCGGUGAAAUGCGUAGAUAUCUGGAGGAACACCAAUGGCGAAGGCAGCUCGCUGGAACGGUACUGACGCUGAGGCGCGAAAGCGUGGGGAGCGAACAGG
rnacentral:rRNA from 1 species